AUGCCAUCUCCGUCCCUCCUCCUCCCGCCUCUCCGCCCGCGCCUCGCCGCCUCCUCCCCCUCCCCCCGCUACCCGCCCCACGUUCUCAGAACCCUACCACCGCUGGCCCCCGCUCCUCGCCUAGCCCUCCCCGCCGCGGCGGCCCGCUCCGGCGGGGGCGGUGACCGCGAGGGAAACCGGGGCGCGGCGGGGGACCGCGAGCGCGUCAUCCCCAUCGCGCGGUGCUACGAGGCGGGCCUCGCACGGCUCGAGGUCUCCGGCGCCGCGCGGCGGGAGCAGGCCAUCGCGGCCGCGGCGGCGGCCGACGGCGGGGCGGCCGCGGAGGCGCACCUCGGCGCCGGCUCCGAGGCCAUGGUCAUGGAGGCCUUCCUCCCCGGAGCCGGUGGCGCCGCGUCCACUCGGGUGAUUUUGCAAGCCAAGGAAGUCAAAGAGAAGGCCGCUAAGAUAAAGAAGGACUUUGGUGAUGAUAUUUUCUCUGAAAAUGAACCUGAUUCCGAGAGUAUCUUGGCCAUGGCUCUUAAGCAAGUUGUGAUGCACAAGCUUUCAAACUACCGGCUAGAAAUCUUCUCCCCGGGUUCAGGGAGGGACUUCCAGGAUUGGAGCAAACCCCGAAAGGUUCCUGUGGAUUUCAGCAUCAGUUCAUCGGAUGGAAAACUUCUAUCCGCUCUUGCUGAAGCAAUUUUCUCAUGUGUCAUUGAGGAUACCGAAAAGAGUUACUUCGGUGGCACAGGUGGAUUUUUCCAAUCGCAGAAGCUGAACUGCUCAUCUGAUUCCACUGUUUGUGUACACAGAAUUUCCGAGGCAGAAGUUGCAAAUAAUGCUAGGAGAUGCUUGGAGAGUUUUAAUCUUACCAAGUCCUCUCAUGAAGUGGGCAGAUUAAAGAAUGUGUGGUGGCCAGCCCCAAAAUAUGGAAGGUUGGCGGAGAUCGGCAGUCCUGAUUUUAUCCUUUGGGCCCAUGAGUUUGUUCCUUCUUAUAAACUGCAAAUUAAUGCCAAUGCAUUCGAGAAUACAAAGCUUGAGGGCUGUCAUGAGUUAGUAAAUAAUAGGUGGGAAGUUCCCAUAUCCCACUUCCAACUGGUGGAACUAGGGAAUGUUGUUGACAUGUAUUUUGAAGAUCAAUUUACGAUUCCUGGAAAAACUUUCCGUUCUCACUGGAAUGCAGAACCAUCCAAGAUUAGAAGGAACAAUGGUUAUUUGAACAACCUUUUUUCUUUCUUGGCUGGUUGUUCUGUUAUUUUUAUUGUCGGCGUCGUUGCUCAGUUAUGCUGGCCUCAAUCUCUUAAAGGCAAAAGGUUGUUUAUGGGCAGUUCACCCACCUCAUCAUCACAGAGCUAUUGUUCUGAUGUUCAUUCUCUGGAUAAUAGUGAGGUACGAGGUUAUUGCAUAUCUGUUGUUAAGAAAAUAAAAGAUUCAUGUGGUUGCCCUGGGGAUAUAGUGGUUGAUGAAAAUAUUGGUGCUUGGAUUGGAGAAUUGCCUGACUGCUUCAAGGCCAUCAAUUUUGGCGAUAAUGCUGCUUCUGAUGAUGCUCAGUAUUCCCGUACUGUUAUCAAAGAAAAUAAGAACCCAUUGGUAUCAACUGCCACCGGGAUGACUUCUCAUCUGGAACAAAACGAUAAUACCCAGGAAAGUCUGCAGAACAUUGCUAGCUUUCAGGUGGUGAUGUCAGAAGAAGGUAAAUUGGUAGGUUUUCAGCCAACAAGCCGCCUAGCUGUGAACCAUUGGGCCAAAAAUCCACUAGCAGCACUGCUGUAUGAGGGGCGGAAGCUUUCUCCAGCCUUUCUGGAGCCUAGGCUUAAAAUUUCCCGUCCUGCUAAGGUUGUCCCAAUUGAGUUGUUGAUGUCGGUAAAUUCAGAAUCUUUUUUUGCUUUGGCGAGGCCUAUUCAAGAUCCAUGCUAA
rnacentral:rRNA from 1 species